AACGAACGUUAGCGGCGCGCCUAAUACAUGCAAGUCGUGCGAGAAAGGGCUUCGGCCCCGUACAGCGGCGCACGGGUGAGUAACACGUAGGUAAUCUUCCCUCGAAUGGUGGAUAACCCUCCGAAAGGAGAGCUAAUACAGCAUAAGACCACGACCUCGUUGAGGUUGCGGCCAAAGCAGGCCUCUACUUGUAAGCUUGCGUUUGAGGAUGAGCCUGCGGCCCAUCAGCUAGUUGGUAGGGUAAUGCCUACCAAGGACAAAGACGGGUAGCUGGUCUGAGAGGAUGAACAGCCACACUGGAACUGAGACACGGUCCAGACUCCUACGGGAGGCAGCAGUAGGGAAUCUUGCGC
rnacentral:rRNA from 1 species